rnacentral:rRNA from 1 species
UACGGAGGGUGCAAGCGUUAUCCGGAUUCACUGGGUUUAAAGGGUGCGUAGGUGGGUUGGUAAGUCAGUGGUGAAAUCUCCGGGCUUAACCUGGAAACUGCCAUUGAUACUAUCAAUCUUGAAUACCUUGGAGGUGAGCGGAAUAUGUCAUGUAGCGGUGAAAUGCUUAGAUAUGACAUAGAAACACCAAUUGCGAAGGCAGCUCACUACACGGUCAUUGACACUGAGGCACGAAAGCGUGGGGAUCAAACAGG